GAUGAACGCUGGCGGCGCGCCUAACACAUGCAAGUCGAACGGUUAAAGCACCUUUUAGGUGUGUAUAAAGUGGCGAACGGCUGAGUAACACGUGGGCAACCUGCCCUCCUCUUGGGGAUAGCCUCGGGAAACCGAGGAUAAUACCCGAUACUUCAAUGUGGCCGCAUGACGACAUUGAGAAAGCUUUUGCGGAGAAGGAUGGGCCCGCGGCCUGUUAGCUUGUUGGUGGGGUAGAGGCCUACCAAGGCAAUGAUGGGUAGCUGGGUUGAGAGACCGACCAGCCAGAUUGGGACUGAGACACGGCCCAGACUCCUACGGGAGGCAGCAGUGGGGAAUCUUGCACAAUGGGCGAAAGCCUGAUGCAGCGACGCCGCGUGCGGGAAGAAGGCCUUCGGGUUGUAAACCGCUUUCAGCAGGGACGAGGCGAAAGUGACGGUACCUGCAGAAGAAGCCCCGGCUAACUACGUGCCAGCAGCCGCGGUAAUACGUAGGGGGCAAGCGUUAUCCGGAUUCAUUGGGCGUAAAGCGCUCGUAGGCGGUCUGUUAGGUCGGGAGUUAAAUCCGGAGGCUCAACCUCCGCCCGCUCCCGAUACCGGCAGACUUGAGUUUGGUAGGGGAAGGUGGAAUUCCUAGUGUAGCGGUGGAAUGCGCAGAUAUUAGGAAGAACACCAGUGGCGAAGCGGCCUUCUGGGCCAUAACUGACGCUGAGGAGCGAAAGCUAGGGGAGCAAACAGG
rnacentral:rRNA from 1 species